rnacentral:rRNA from 1 species
AACGCGUGAAGGCGAGCGACUCUAGACGAACUGCCGUUGGACAAAACGGAGGAAGGUGGGAUGACGUCAAAUCAUCAUGCCCUUAUGUUCUGGGCUACACACGUGCUACAAUGGCCGGUACAGACGGACGCAAAGCCGCGAGGUGGAGCAAAUCCUAAAAAGCCGGUCUCAGUUCGGAUUGCAGGCUGCAAUUCCGCCUGCAUGAAGUCGGAAUCGCUAGUAAUCGCAGGUCAGCAUACUGCGGUGAAUACGUUCCCGGGCCUU